ACUCCUACGGGAGGCAGCAGUGGGGAAUAUUGCACAAUGGGCGCAAGCCUGAUGCAGCAACGCCGUGUGAGUGAAGAAGGUUUUCGGAUCGUAAAACUCUGUCCUAAGGGAAGAAACAAAUGACGGUACCUUAGGAGGAAGCCCCGGCUAACUACGUGCCAGCAGCCGCGGUAAUACGUAGGGGGCAAGCGUUAUCCGGAAUCACUGGGGCGUAAAGGGUGCGUAGGCGGCUUAGCAAGCCAGGGGUGAAAGGCAUUGGCUCAACCAAUGUAAGCCUUUGGAACUGUUAAGCUUGAGUGCAGGAGAGGUAAGUGGAAUUCCUAGUGUAGAGGUGAAAUUCGUAGAUAUUAGGAGGAACACCAGUGGCGAAGGCGACUUACUGGACUGUAACUGACGCUGAUGCACGAAAGCGUGGGUAGCGAACAGGAUUAGAUACCCUGGUAGACUGUCA
rnacentral:rRNA from 1 species